GGGCCCGCACAAGCGGUGGAGCAUGUGGUUUAAUUCGAUGAUACGCGAGGAACCUUACCAGGGCUUAAAUGUAGUUGACCGGUCUGGAAACAGACUUUCUCUUCGGAGCAGAUUACAAGGUGCUGCAUGGUUGUCGUCAGCUCGUGCCGUGAGGUGUUAGGUUAAGUCCUGCAACGAGCGCAACCCCUAUUCUUAGUUGCCAGCGGUUCGGCCGGGGACUCUAAGAAGACUGCCAGCGCAAGCUGAGAGGAAGGUGGGGAUGACGUCAAAUCAUCACGGCCCUUACGUCCUGGGCUACACACGUGCUACAAUGGUAGAGACAGAGGGCCGCUAACCCGCGAGGGGGAGCUAA
rnacentral:rRNA from 1 species